rnacentral:tRNA from 1 species
GCUCCUGUGGUGUAGACCGGUCAAGCAUACCGCCCUUUCAAGGCGGUGAUCCCGGGUUCAAAUCCCGGCGGGAGCACCA